GUACAUCCAGAGAAUUUAGCAGAGAUGCUUUAGUGCCUUCGGGAACUCUGAGACAGGUGCUGCAUGGCUGUCGUCAGCUCGUGUUGUGAAAUGUUGGGUUAAGUCCCGNAACGAGCGCAACCCUUAUCCCUUUGUUGCCAGCACGUAAUGGUGGGAACUCAAAGGAGACUGCCGGUGAUAAACCGGAGGAAGGUGGGGAUGACGUCAAGUCAUCAUGGCCCUUACGAGUAGGGCUACACACGUGCUACAAUGGCGCAUACAAAGAGAAGCGACCUCGCGAGAGCAAGCGGACCUCAUAAAGUGCGUCGUAGUCCGGAUUGGAGUCUGCAACUCGACUCCAUGAAGUCGGAAUCGCUAGUAAUCGUAAAUCAGAAUGUUACGGUGAAUACGUUCCCGGGCCUUGUACACACCGCCCGUCACACCAUGGGAGUGGGUUGCAAAAGAAGUAGAUAGCUUAACCUUCGGGAGGGCGUUUACCACUUUGUGAUUCAUGACUGGGGUGAAGUCGUAACAAGGUAGGCGUAGUGCU
rnacentral:rRNA from 1 species